CCGAGUGAGGGCCCUCUGGGUCCAACCUCUCACCCGUGUUUAUCGUACCUUGUUGCUUCGGCGGGCCCGCCGCAAGGCCGCCGGGGGGCUGUCGCCCCCGGGCCCGCGUCCGCCGAAGACACCUGUGAACGCUGUAUGAAGAUUGCAGUCUGAGCGAUUAGCUAAAUCGGUUA
rnacentral:misc_RNA from 1 species